AGCCAAUGAUGUGUUGCUGUCUCACAUGAUUACUUUCUUCCAUGACAAGACUGACUGGCAUCUCCGUGGCUCCUUCUUUGACGACAUUGUGGGUGUGGCCGCCUAUGUCCGAUAGCAGAGCUGCUCUAUACUGAAACCACUUAUUGAACAGGGCCUGAGUGACUCAGAAGAAUUUGUGGUACACAAGACGUUAGGUGCUCUACAGGGUUUUACAGAAUUAGGUCUCAUUCAGAAAUCCAUGCUUCAGGAGUUCUUACAUGAAGUGGUCCUUUUU